UCUGUGCUGCUCCCACCCUGGCCUGUGAGACGUUCCCUUGGAGCCACUUGCUUUGUCCCGCUACCCGCGAAAUCAUUCGGCCCGUCUCAACCGUGUCGGGCUGCAGAGAGGGCUGCGAUGGGAGUGGGAGGCUUUGGCCCCGUGGCCACGGCCUUGGGGUGUCUGUCUGUGGGUGUUUAGGGUUGCCAACCCUCCAGGAUUGGCCUGGAGUCUCCCACAAUCGGCAUCAAUCUCUUGGUGACUAUUGAAAGCAACCCGGGAGGUUUUAAUAGGCUGUUUUAAGAACAUGACAUGACGUCAUGUUGGGAAAAAAUAUCUCCCGGAAUAGCUUCAGUCCGAGUUGGCAACCCUAUGGGUGUUUGUUUUUCUGAUCCUGAGUCCAUCCCUUCUACCUAGGGCGAAGUACGAGUUCCUCCCGAGCAUGCAGAGCGCUGAGGACUUGGUGUCACAAGUGGACUGUCUGUCCGGCAACAUCGACCUACUGAAAUCCAGGAUCGAAAAUGAGGUCCGGCGAGAUCUGAACGUGGCCAUUGUGGAAUUUACUGAACUGAAGCAGCAGCUGGAGCGAGACUCGUUGGUUCUGAGUGUGCUGAAACAGCUGCAAGAGAGCCACUAGGAGCAAAGCAAGGGACAGGCUGAAGGAGCAGAGCCAUCCCCAGGGUGACAUGCCAGGCAAAGAAGAGUCCAGGACAAAUGUAUCCCCACUACGCAGCUUUGUCCCAGUUAAUAUGUAGUUACAGUGGCUCGGCAUGAGUUGAAAAGACGGAGGGAGCCGUCAAACCUGCCUGUUGCCAAGGCCUCUAAGGAGGCAUCUCCAGCAGCCCAGGUGUGUUCUCUGGUGUAGCGUGAGGGGCAGCCUCGCUGCUUUUGCCUGUUGCAGCUGAUCCAUAUUAAACAACUAGUGUUUGGGCAAAGGCUGCUACAGUCCUCCUGCUCUCGUGCAAUGGAUUAGCCCCAUGCUUGGGCUGUGCGUAAGGGGCGUUCAAAUCUCCCCUCGGCUUGUGUUAAGAAGGACGUUGGAUGGAUGUCAAAUGGAAUCUUCCUGCGCGUCCCCUGAGCUAUGGGGGGUUUCAUCUCUCUUGCCGGUGG